rnacentral:rRNA from 1 species
AGAGUUGAUCAUGGCUCAGGAUGAACGCUAGCGGCAGGCCUAAUACAUGCAAGUCAAGGGGGCAGCAAUGUCACCGGCGGACGGGUGCGUAACGCGUACACAACAUACCUUUAAGCGGGGGAUAGCACUGGGAAACUGGUGGUAAUACCCCAUAACAUUGCGAGGCGGCAUUGCUUUGCAAUUAAAGUUACGGCGCUUAGAGAUUGGUGUGCGUCUGAUUAGCUAGUUGGCGGGGUAAAGGCCCACCAAGGCGACGAUCAGUAGGGGGUGUGAGAGCAUGACCCCCCACAUGGGUACUGAGACACGGACCCAACUCCUACGGGAGGCAGCAGUAAGGAAUAUUGGACAAUGGACGGAAGUCUGAUCCAGCCAUGCCGCGUGAAGGAUGAAGGCGCUCAGCGUUGUAAACUUCUUUUGGAUGGGGACAAACCACUUCAUUUAUGGAGUGCUGAGGGUACCAUCAGAAUAAGCACUGGCUAACUCCGUGCCAGCAGCCGCGGUAAUACGGAGGGUGCAAGCGUUAUCCGGAAUCACUGGGUUUAAAGGGUGCGUAGGCGGUCUGAUAAGUCAGUUGUGAAAUUCCCCGGCUUAACCGGGUGGACUGCGAUUGAUACUGUUAGACUUGAAUCAGGUUGAGGUAGGCGGAAUGUGACAUGUAGCGGUGAAAUGCUUAGAUAUGUCAUAGAACACCGAUUGCGAAGGCAGCUUGCUGGGCUUCGAUUGACGCUGAGGCACGAAAGCGUGGGGAGCAAACAGGAUUAGAUACCCCUGGUAGUCCACGCCCUAAANCGAUGUUUACCUUGCUGUUCCCUGGCUAGANCUGGGAGUGGCGAAGCGAAAGCGAUAAGUAACCCCCCUGGA